AACGCACCUUGCGCCCUCUGGUAUUCCGGAGGGCAUGCUUGUUUGAGUGUCAUUAAAUUCUCAAAGAAAAGCUAGCUUUUCUUUGGAUGUGAGGGCUUUUGCUGGCUUUCGGGUCUGCUCCCUUUAAAUGCAUUAGUGGGAUUCCUUUGUGGAACGGUCACUUGGUGUGAUAAUCUAUCUACGCCGCUUUGACUCGGAAGCAAAACCUAUGGGAUUCUGCUCGAUAACCGUUCCUUCGGAACAAUCUUAAUGACCAUUUGACCUCAAAUCAAGUAGGACUACCCGCUGAACUUAA
rnacentral:misc_RNA from 1 species